ensembl:snRNA U2 U2 spliceosomal RNA
AUAAAAUUCUCAACCUAUUGGCUAAGACCAAGAGUAGUAUCUGUUCUUUUCACUUUAAUAUCUGAUACGUCCUUUAUCUGAGGACAUUUUUGUUGUGUUAUUUCUU